rnacentral:lncRNA from 10 species
AUCAACUAUCCUUCCCUGCUCACCUUGUUCUCAAGUACUCCAAAUUGCAUGAUUAUACAGUUCUAAUUCCCCUAAGUAUCAUUUAAUUCAGUGUUUUUACAGAUAAGACUGAGGCCCACCAUGGUGAAAUUGCUUCUCCCGGGUCAUCUUGCAAAGCUAAAUCUAGAACCAGAAUCUCCUAAUCGUUUAUAUUUAUUCAUUCCCUUAUUCUUUUACCAAAUCUUGUCAAUUCUACGUCCUCAGGGGUUUUCCCAUCUAUGCAUUUUCACUGUCUCAAUUUAAAAUCUCAUUUUAGUAUCUUUUAACUACACUAAUGCACUUCUAACUUGCUUUUCUCUUAUCCACAUACAUUACUGCCAGAAAUAAUAUUCCUCAACUCCAAAUCUAUCCUCAUUAUGUUCUCCUGCUGAGACAUCCACUUUAUAUAGAAUAAAGGUCUAAUGUCUUGUCCAGUAGUCAAAAUCCUAUGUGAUUAGAUCCUAGCUUCCUUUCUAUUUUGUCUUAGCUACACACGUAUUUUAUUUCAACCAAUUCAAACUAUUAGCUACUCAGUAUACCUAGCUAACUCUCCCACCUCCAUGUCUUUCUCAAUCUGUUCUUCAGACGAUCUGUCAACAGGAGUGGGCUGUCAUCCGAUCUUCUUCCCCAUCACCGCCAUAAAUCUAAAGUAUAGUAUGUUGUUCAUCUUUUAAGGUCUAUCUUAAGUUCUACUUCCUCUUUAAAAAAACAGACAAACAACAACAACAACAAAAAAAAACAGUCCGGGUGCUGUGGCUUAUCCCUGUAAUCCCAGCACUUUGGGAGGCCGAGGCCGGUGGAUCACGAGGUCAGGAGAUCGAGACCAGCCUGGCCAACAUGGAGAAACCCUGUCUCUACUAAAAAUACCAAAAUUAGCUGGGUGUGGUGGCAUGCACCUGUAAUCCCAGCUAUUCGGGAGGCUGAGGCAGGAGAAUCGCUUGAACCUGGGAGGCAAAGGUUGCAGUGAGCAGAGAUGGCACCACUGCAUUCCAGCCUGGCAACAGAGCGAGACUCUGUCUCAAAACAAACAAACAAACAAACAAACAAAAAACCUUGGUGGCUCAUGCUUGUAAUCCCAGCACUUUGGGACUUUGGGAGGGUGAAGCAAGAGGAUCUCUUGAGCUCAGGAGUUCAAGACUAGCCCGGACAACAUAGUAAGACCCUGUCUCUAUAAACAAAAAACAAAACAAAACAAAAGUUUCCCAACCCCUUCCUAAUAGCACAUUGUGCCUUUAUUGUCCUAUGCAUCAAAGUCUCAUAACUAAGUUAGUUUUUAACUCCCUUAGCAGAUUGCUAACUACGUGAUUACAGAGAUUGUGUUGUACUUGCCUUUUAGAUCUCCUUUAGCUCAUUGUAGAACUUGGCAUUUAGUAGAUGCUCAGAAGCACUUAUAAAAUUAAAUAGUAGUUAACAUACAUGUAAUGCUAUACUUUGUAAAAUACAUUCCCAAAACCUGUGGAGUAGGUCAUUCAAAUGUUUUUAUUAUUCUAAAUUUAUAGAUAUUUAAAAUUCUGAAGAACAGAGUUUAGUAGGACCUGAAUUCUGUGGUGGGAAUCAAAGGCGUUUACUCUGUAUUACCUCUGUUAUUUUAAGUUUGAAUUCUCCAAAGGACUGUGCUGCGUAUUUUCCUCACAAUCAUAUUUACUUGCCUCAGGCUGUUUGUGCAUACUAUUAAACAGCCAGAUGAAAAAUUAAAAAUUCAAUCAAUCAUCCAAAUAUUUUUAAAUGUAAUAUACAUAUGUUUGCUUUCAUAUAGAACAAACAGCCAGGUGAUUGAUUGAGCUAUUUGCUUUUCAACCAGUUGUUUUGGCAGUAUGAUUAUUAUAUAAACUCUAAUAGUGACAAUCAGUUUUUUAUAGAUUUUCUAAUUUUACUGGAUUCUUCCAUUUAUUUACUAUAGUCAUCUAGUCUUAUUUAUAUCAUUUAUCAGCCCAUAAAAUGUAGUAAAAAAAACCUGGUUCUUAUGACUUCUUUAAGCCUGUCCCCACAGACUUGGAACCAAGAUUAUAAUGCUGGGAUUGAAGAGAAUAUUCUGAGAUUGGAUAAAAUGAUUUACACCCUGCAGCUUCCAUGAUUGAGAGAUUUAGGGAGAAAAAAACAAGAAAACAUUAACUCUGGAAACAAGCAGGAGUGUCUUUGAAAUCAUCAGGAAUUCCCAAGAGACAAAAUAAUCGGUGGAAUUGAAUUCAAAGAGAAAACUUUUGCCCAAAAUGUGCAAAAGAGAAUACUUCUAGGAAAGAUGUACAAGUAGGUUCAGGGAAAAAAAGGAAGGAGCCCUGGUGCAGUGGCUCAUGCCGGUAAUCCCAGCACUUCAGGAGGCUGAGGCGGAUAGAUCACCUGAGGUCGGGAGCCUGGCCAACAUGGUGAGACCCCGUCUCUACUAAAAAUACAAAAAUUAGUCAGGCAUGGUGGUGGGUACCUGUAAUAUCAGCUACUUGGGAGGCUGAGGCACGAGAAUCUCUUGAACACAGGAGGCGGAGGUUGCAGUAAGCCAGGAUCAUGCCACUGCACUCCAGCCUGGGGGACAGAGUAAGACUCUGUCUCAAAAAAAAAAAAAAAAAAAAAGAGAGAGAGAGAGAAAAGGAAAAAAAAUAAAAAGCAGUAGGAGCAGCCUAGCAGUUCUGACCCCUACUCCCCUCUCAACCGCCACUACCACCAUAUACAGAGGAAAGGGCAAGACUUAGGAAAGGCUAGAUUACUAGGUUGUUGGACCAACCCUCCCACUGAAAUAAAAUGAUACAUGUAAAAUACAAACUUCUUAAAUGCAUCAGAGAGUUGAGAAGACAGUGAAGUACCAGACAAAAAAUCUAGGGAAAAUCUAGAAUCUAGAGAAGUAAGCACAAGUGCCCCUGAGCAGAGCCAGGACUUGCCCCAUCCUGGCCCCAGCCCUGCACCUGAACAUCAAAGCAGCUUUUGCCCCUGUGCUAGACAAGUGUAGACAUUAGUUUUAAUGGCCACACAAAGAAGAUAGAAUCCAAUACUCUAGACCCGUCCAAGGUGAGAAGUAUAAUAAGAGACCUUUUCAACGGAAAAUGCUAUACUCUUAAAAUAAGGGCACACUACCCCUUCCCAAGUCCAGGGAUCAGCAGGACUUAACUUUUAGCAGAGCAAAGAGAAAAAGAAAAAGAAAAAUAUAUAUCUCUGAGAAAUUGUGUGGUCAUGUGCCAGCCCUCACAGCUUGGGUUUACAUUGCUUAGGGAUUCCCAGGCACCCCAACCCUAGAACUAGAUCUAAGGUUAGAUCUAGGCACCUAGGUUAAACAUCAGGAACCUGGCAAAAGUAAAUUCAUGUUUUCUCCAUGGAAAGACAACUUCAUCAUAGGCCUCAAAGAAUCCACUCUAAUAAAGUGUGCAGUAGAUAGUCAAAAAUAAGUGCAAAAAGAGACAAAUCGCCAUUAGGUGGGAGCAUUUGUGGUCGGCAUUUGUGCCAGAGACAUAGGAUGCUACUGCAAAUGGCUAGUGAUAUUCAUGGAGUCUCUAUUCCUAGAAGACUAGCUCUUGUUACAUUCUGAUAGCACACUCUGCAAUACCCACAAAGUCACUGGUAGAAAGCUGAGAUAAUUCGUUAUAGCAUUCACAGACAGGCUAACGGAAAAUCCAAGCCUAACACGAGGACAUUAGGACUCAGCAGUGCUUACAUAUUCUACAGUUUGAACAAUUCAGAGAAUAUUGGCAUGGCCCUUGCACAAGGGUGACUCACAAAUUUGUGAAGCAUUCCAUAUUUUUUAAAAAGCAAACAUUUGAAGACUUUUAAACAUAAAAUACCAUAAUAUGUAUUUAGAGAGGUUACUUAAUCCAUGAAACAAGAACAGGUUUUAAUGAAAGAAAAAAGAUAUUUUAGAAAUGAAAUAUCUGAUAGCAAAAGUGAAAACCUUAAGGCUGAAUAGCAAAAUUGUCAUAGCUGAAGAGCAACCUGGGUGCUCAAGAUCAAACUGAGAAAUUCCCUCACAUCAUAAUACAAACAGACAGGGAGGUGAUACAUAUGAAAUAAAGGUUAAGGCACUUGGAGGAUACAUACAAACGUUACAAUAUCCAUACAAUAGGAUUUCCAGAAAGAGAAAAUAAAACUCAGAGGAAAAAUAAAUCAAAUAAAAUUCCCUAGAUAUGAAAAAAGACUCAAAUUUUCACAUUAAGGCCCACUUUGUGCCAAGCAAGAACACUGGGAAAAGACCCGCUCAUAGAAAAUAGUGGUAAAAUGUGAGUACUUUAUGGAUAAUGAGAAAAUCCUAAAAGCUUCUAAAGAGAAAAACAUGUUAUUUACAAACAAAAAGCACCCUCUUGACUUCAGAUUCUUUAGCCACACUGAGUAUAAGAAGACACUAGAGAAAUAUUUUCUAAAAUACUGAGGUGAAAAUGAUUUUGAACUUAGAAUUCUAUAAUCUGACAAUCAAACAAGUGUAAUGACAUUUUCAAACAUGAGACAUUUUCAUACAUGAAUGGAUUCAGAAAAUUUAUCACCUACAAACCCUAGCUGAAAUAAUAGCUAGAAGACAUGCUCCAGCAAAAUGAAAAAUGAAUCCAAGAGAAGACUGGAAGUCAGUGGUAAGCCAAGUAACCUUUAAGACUUAUGAUAAAUCUAAAUAAAGGCUUAUUUUAUUUUUUAGAAAUACAACAAUCACAGAGAUUUCUUUUUAAAAAUCCUUUUCACAGUAGCAACAGAUGUUAUAAAAUAGCUAGGAAUAAAUUUAAUGAAGCUGGAGUAAAAUACCCAAGGAAUAAAAAUUAAAGUGUAUCUGGAGAACAUUAAACAAAGAAACGUGAAUAAAUUAAAGCUGUACAUCUGAAUGAAUCUGUGUUGCAAAUAUGCCAAGUUUUUGUAAAUUAACAUUUCCAAUCAAUUGUAAAUUAACAAUUCCAGUCAAAAUAUCAACAGAUUUCUAAAUGAAUCUGACAAGCUUAUUCUAAAAUUUAUCUAGAAAAGAAAUUACGCCGGAAUUCCCAAGAUAAGUUUCACAAAGAGGAACAUAGAGGGCGUGUGUGUGUGUGUCCUCACACACACAGAGAAGUUCCUGCUCAACCAGAUAGUAAAAUAUGCAAUUAUAAAUAUACAGUAAUUAGAUAUACAGUAAUUAGGGUAUUGCCAGAAGAAUAGAGGAGUAGAUCAGGAAAACAGAACAGAGAGUUAAAAAAUGGACCAGUGUAUGAAUAAGAAUUUAGUACCUGAAAGAAGGUUUUAAAAUGUAAUAGGAAAGAGAUGGAUUGUAAUGAUUGCUAGUGACAAAUUGUCCAUUUAUUUAGGACAAAAUGGUAGAUCCCACUUCAUACGAAUCACAAAAAUGAUCCAGAUGGAUUAAAAAUGUAAAUUGUAGCCAGGCACGGUGGCUCACGCCUGUAAUCCCAACACUUUGGGAGGCUGAGGUGGGUGGAUCACCUGCGCUCAGGAGUUCAAGACCAGCCUGGGCAACAUGGUGAAACCUCAUCUCUACUAAAAAUACAAAAAAAAAAAAAAUUAGCUAGCUAUGGUGGCACAUGCCUGUGGUCCCAGCUACUCAGGAGGCUGAGGUGGGAGGAUUGCUUGAGCCUGGGAGGUGAAGGUUGCAGUGAGCUGAGACUGUGCCACUGCACUUCAGCCUGGAUGACAGAGUGAGACCCCAUCUCAACAAAACAAAACAAAACAAAACAAAAGUACAUUGUAAAAACAAAACUAUAAAAAUAGUUUAAGGAAAUACAUUAAAAUAUAGAUUCAAAUGCUUGGUAAGAAAACCUUCUUGAACAAAACACAAACAAAAAGGUUAUAAGUGAGGAAGGAAUGGAUAAUUUUCACUGCUUCAGGAUUUAAGACCUCUAUGGUGAAAAGGAUACAAUAAACAGUUAAAAGGCUGAAAACAGACUGAAGAAUAUAUUUACAACAUACACACCAUAUCAAAUAACAUCUAGAACAUAUAAGGAAUUCCUAAAGAUUUUUUUUAAAAAAGAGCCUGAUAGAAAAAUGGGCAAAUGACCUAACAGUCAGUUCCUUAGAGAGGAAAUAUAAAUGCUCCCAAAUGUGAAAAGAUGGUUAACUGUACCAGUAAUCAUGCAAAUGAAAAUUAACAGUGAGACACCAGUAUUAUCACAAUACAUUGAAAAAAAUUGAAACGUGCCAGUUAUGGUGAGAAAAAAUUAAUAUUCCUAUAUAGUAAUAGAUAUAGUAUAUAUAAUAUAUAUAGUAAUAUAUAUAGGAAUAUUAAUUUCUAUUAAUUAAUAUGUGUGACAGUAUUUUUCUUUUUGAGACGGAGUUUUACUCUUGUUACCCAGGCUGGAGUGCAAUGGCACAACCUUGGCCUACUGCAAACUCCACCCGCCAGGUUCAAGUAGUUCUCUUGUCUCAGCCUCCCGAGUAGCUGGGAUUACAGGCACCUGCCACCACGCUUGGCUAAUUUUGUAUUUUUAGUAGAGACAAUGUUUCACCAUGUUGGCCAGGCUGGUCUCCAACUCCUGACCUCAGGUGAUCUGCCCACCUCAGCCUCCCAAAGUGCUAGGAUUAGAGGCGUGAGCCACUGCAUCCGGCCAUGGCAGUAUUAUAUAUAACAUACGUAUACUAAGUGUGGAAGUAGAAUGGUAGCUUUUUGGAAUGCCAAUUUGGCAUUAUCUAUUAAUAUUUAAAAUGAGCAUACUACCUCUCAAAUGAGCAAAUUUACUUCUUCUUGUCCACCCUAACAAACCCUUAUACAUGUUUUAUAGGAAACAUGUUCAAGGUUAUCCCUUACAGUAUUGUUUGUCAUGGCAAAAUAAUUAAAAACAUCAUAAAUGUCUAUCCAUAUUUAGUAAUUAAAUGUCAACCACUGUUGCAGAGACAACUGUCUUCCAACCUUGAGAUUCUGGAUUUUAUUUCACGGUAUGUCAGAAGACAAUUCCAAACUUGCGAUUCUUUGACUCUAAGUUUUCUAUUGUAACUUAAAAGGCAGUUUGGUUAAAUUUUAGAUCCAGCAGCAGAAUGACAUGCUGUGUUAUAAUAAAAGUAUUUAAUCAAACAACAUUUUUAAUUAAGAAACUGUGCAGGGUGCUAGAGGCAAACUUUAAAAAAAAAAAAAAAAGAGGAUGGAGCACUUUCUUCAGAGAUCUUACAAUCCGUAGAAUAAAAUUCAAUAUAUGAGUGGGUGCUAACAUAAGUGACAAGGGAGUACCACUUCCUGAAGAUGUACCAAGAACGGAUGAUGGGUCAUUGAAGGCAGUAGUAUCCAGUGAGACCUACAGGUAGGAAGGCAAAUUUAUUUAGUCACUUAACAGAUAUGUAUUAAGAAUCUGUUAUAGGACAGGAACUAUGGUAGGCAUCUGGCUCUAAUGUUGAAACAGGAAAGACAUGUCCUGGAAGGAUGAAUAACAAUUGGAUAUUCGGAAAAGAAUAGGAAAGCAUUCCAAAUUAGAAGUGCACAAAUAAGUAAAAUACAUGGGUGUGAGAAUGAGUAGAAUGUACAUAUGGGGUAGGAGGAUACUACCACUUCAAUAAGAGCAGGGUGUAGUGGGAAAUAAAUUGGCUAAGAAAAAUAAGAUUGGAUUAUUCAAAGGCUUAAAUUGUCAGAUAGAAGAAAUUAAAAGAAACUUUACUGAGUGCCUAGCAAAUGUCAAGCACUUUCACAUCCAUGAUCUCAUUUAUUUCUGAGAAUAACUCUUCCCACUCCCCACCCACGACUGUGCAAUUCAAAGAAAAACAAAACACAACAAUGUUUUACCUGUUCAUGGGGAUGUUGGCAUGGAGUGAGUAAAACAUGAUGGAAGAUUUGGAGCUUGAGAAAGUGAUGAUCCCCUUGACAGGGGCAGAAUAUUGGAGAAAGGAAGGUGACUUGGGAGGGGGCACAUGAGAAAUAAUGAUUUAGUUUGUGGGGACAUUGGGACUUAGAAAUGACAGGAAUAUAUUCAGGCCACCUUGCUGCCUAUUUAAUCAUAUUUCAGCCACUUCAACUAGUGACAACAAAACAAGUAGUUUGAGUAUUUCCACUCUUCAUCACAACCCUAAGUGGAAACUUUCUAUCUAUUGCAAAAUUUCAGCCUUUCAACUAAAGUCACUGUGUGUCUCUAAGCUUAAAAGCUUUAGUGCCCUAUUUCUAGAGGACAUAAUCACAUCUUAAAAUCACCAUUAACAAAGCCUUCAUACUUUGUAUGAAUAGAAUUAACUAAGUCAAUAUAUCCAUUAUACAUUUUAGUUCAUACAUUUGAGCAAGCAAGAAAUACAACAGUUUUUUCAACAUUGGAAUGUAAUUUCUGUUUAAUGUCAAGCUAAUACAUUUAAUGUCGAGCUAUUGUAGUGUUAAUUUCUCUUUACCACCUCUCUAGCUCUCUCCCUACUCCUAGUCCAGGGAAUGUUUUCUCAUUUUGGGAAGAGAGCACAGAAAGCCUUGCAGUUACUUUGAUGUUAUAUCCCAGUUAUUCUACAUUUAUUCUGUUGUCCAGAUUGUAAGUCCUUUCUUUUCCUCCAACAGCCAAGAAAAUUCGUUUCUUUCUACCACAUCAUUAUUUUUUUCUGAAGCAAUGAGCAACUCACUGACUAAAUUGGGAAAAGGCCACAGGUACAGAGAAGUACCAAGAAAAACCAUCAGUUAAUAUUGUCAUCAGUUAAUAUGUUCCACCGCAUACUCUCAUUUAUAAUUUGCAUUUCUCCAAAAUUAUUUCUCACCUAAUGAAGAAUUAAUCAUAAGAAUAACAUUUAUUAGGCACUUGCUAUGCGCUAGGCACUGUGCCAGGCACUGUGCCAGGCACAUUGCAUCAAUUAUUCAACUAUCCUUCAAGGUUGCUGUUAAGCUCUUUACUUGUAUCUACAGGAGGUAAUUAGGCUUCUGGAAGGAAUAUUCUCAGCAAAGCUGAGUUAUUUGGCCUUCUCUACUCAGUUAAACUUCAUAAAAAUUAAAAUAAGUAACGGAACUAUUCCAGAAAAGAAUAAAUAAAAACCUAGUCCCCAGUAACUUUAGUUUUUAUGGAAAUUUUGCUAUCUUUGCACUUGAAGAAGGAAAUGAUGAGGAAGAGAGAAUAAAAGACUACGAAAUAUCUUUUCAAGACACUGACACUAAAUUACAGACUUUCAGAACAUCUACUAUAUUUUAAUUUAUAUAACUAAGCCAUUAGCCUAUUACCAAAUAUAUAAAAAUACAUCAAAAUGUAUUUGUAUUUAGAGACCUUGAAAUAUCCAGGUUUGG